rnacentral:rRNA from 1 species
CCUACGGGGAGCUGCAGUGGGGAAUAUUGCACAAUGGGGGAAACCCUGAUGCAGCAACGCCGCGUGAGUGAAGAAGGUUUUCGGAUUGUAAAGCUCUGUUAGCAGGGAAGAGGAAGGACGGUACCUGCAGAGGAAGCCACGGCUAACUACGUGCCAGCAGCCGCGGUAAUACGUAGGUGGCAAGCGUUGUUUGGAAUAACUGGGCGUAAAGGAUGCGUAGGCGGUUAAACAAGUUAUAUGUUAAAUAUAUCGGGUUAACCUGUAGAAAGCAUAUAAAACUGUUUAACUAGAGGGCAGGAGAGGAAAGUGUAAUGCCUAGUGUAGGGGUGAAAGGCGUAGAGAGUAGGAGG